GCCUCACUGACAGUGGAACUGCUCUUGGACCAGUAGGUGGAUUAGUGAACGCUGUCGGCCAUGCUGGUAAGUAACGUUUUUGUACAAACAAUUUUUUUUUUUUAAAUUCCGAUAUUUAGUAUUAUGAAAGCAUUUUUUUCACUUAAGCUUUAUACUUAUCAUUUUAAACUCAAGUAUAUAAAAUAAUUUUUCUUUUUAGAAAUUAAAUGACAAAUAUGAAUAUAUAUAAUUAGUUUUUGUUAUAAAUGAUAUGUCUGGGUUAGAUGGUCAAAGGAGGAGAGAUGGCAAGUUUAAUUAUAUUUAUUAAUAUAUUUGUUAAUAUGUGUAGCCGAUGCAGCUUUAAAGGAAGCAGUUUAAUUUGUUUUUCGUUUUGGACAAAGUGCUUUUUGCGACAUCGAAAAAUAUGAAAAGGCUUAAUUUUUACUUUAUUAAAAUAUUUUUUGAAUUACGUAUUUUGUAGUUUUUCAAUAAGCUGGUAAUAUGUUUUCAAUUAGUUGGUUCUGUAAGGCACAUAUAUAUACCACAAUCUUUGUUCUCGAGUAAAAAGCAGAGGUAUAUAACAGCAGAAUGACAUAAAAAAUUCGAUGACCAUCUCAUCUUCAGCAUUAGCAGAAACGGCGACAUAAAAUCGAGGAGUGUUACUACUUUUCAUUUAUGUGUACAGACAUAUCAAGAAUCAUAGGGUCCUUAAAUGUUUAAAAUUGGUGAAAAAAAAAUAAGAAAUUAAGAUGUAUAUUAGUAAAUUCAUAUUGACCACGGUGAUUAAUAUUUUUAAAUGAACGAAUCUAGUUACAAAAACUUUGGUUUCGUUAAUGGUUUUUAUUUGAUUUUGAGUAAUUUAAAAUUUGAAUACAAUGCAACUUUCAUCUCAUUAUUAUGAACUAUUUCAGGCGGUCAUCUCAUUCAAGGAAAACUGAAUGAAAUUGAUUUCAUGGUAAAUGAUGCUGCUUGUGGACUUGGAAACAUUGCUAAUGCUGCUGUUGAUAUGUGUAAGUGAUUUUUUAUUCAAGCUUACAGAAUCGAGCUUUUAUUCAGAACAGUAAUCAUUAUAAAAUGAAAAUAAUUAAAGAGUAUUUUACUUUUAAAAGAGUACCUCAUUUUUUAAAUACCCUUAGGAUAUAAAUUUAAAUAUCAUUUGAGCUUCUUAGUUGUAUUUCAAACAAGAAUGUUAGUCUUAGAGCAUAAAAAAAUUUAUUAAUUAAAAUUAUUAAUUUUAUACUACUUUUCAUACUUUUCUUUAAA
rnacentral:lncRNA from 1 species